ensembl:snRNA U1 U1 spliceosomal RNA
AUAGAUACCUGGCAGGGUAGAUAUGUGAUCACAAAGAUGGCUUCCCCAAGAUGAGUCUUAUCCAUUGCAUUCCGGAAGUGCUGACUCCUGCAAUUUCCCCAAAUGUGGGAAACUCCACUGCAUAAUUUAUGGUAGUCGGGGGCUGAGUUUUCUCUCUCCCAUU